rnacentral:lncRNA from 1 species
UAUAUGGCACUGUUGUGGGGUUAUUACACACGCUAGCUGCUGGAACAUAUCUAUAAAUAAAUGAAAAACAAGUGUUGAAUUUUUUUAAAAUUCAAUAUGAACAUGUUGUAUCCACGAGUCAGCUCAGUUGUCAGACUUCAAAUGUCCUCGCCACACCCAUGACCUGGCAGAAAUUAGAUGUAGAGAAGAAUAAAUUAAACUAAUAACACUAUCAAGUUUUCAUGUGAGCCAUGUGUAGAAAAAUAAGUACCUCUUUAUUAGAACGCAGGAAUUUCAAAGCAAAAUAUGGGAUUCAAUAAAUAAAAAAAAAAGGUCGUUUCAAAGAGGCCUAAGCGAUUGUUUCUGCAAGUUCUGAAGGUUAUACACUAUAUACACCGCUCCAUCCAAACAUGUUACAUUAGUAAUUUCUUCUACUUUCAUUUGUCCUCAUGGUCGUCAUCAUGCAUGGAGUAUAUGAUAUGAUAUAUAUGCACCUUGUCCAUACUGGUACGUAGCACAUCCACAACUACCAGUACACUAAAUAAAACUACACACCGCACAUAUAGUUGGAGCACUCAUCAGAUAUGCAAUUAUAUAUAUAUAAUAAUACCAACGUUUAAUAAUCUGGUUGGCUCACAUCUUUGUGCACUAAAGAGUGUUCGUUGGUCAGGGCCGGGACCCGGCAUGCCAUGGCAUAUGCUACCCAGCAACCUAACGCUCAUGUAUAGUAUUUAUUAUCGAUAUCGAUUUGAUUUAGUUAUUUGGUUGGCGUUAAUUACUCUUGGCCGGUAGUUAUGACGUCGACUGAGAGAGAGAGCCUUUCUGUUUUGUCGAUCUGCAAGCUAAGACGAUUGCCUAAACUGUCAGCACACACAAAGCAAACUCGUGUACACAUCCAUCCUGCAUGCCGUUAGUUGAGUACGUACACACGGCUAAGUUUGUGUAACCAGCUAGCUGCGUUGGUGAAACUUGUGAAGGUUUGGUUUCACUUCCGUGUAAAACAUGCAUGCAUGUGACUUGGCGAAGACUUGGCCGCACCACACCAAAGUAGUUAGUGCUGCUAUAUCUACACGGCGACCCCAGUACAAGCUUUUAGGUGAAUCUAACUAACCACAGUUACUACCACUAGCUAGCUGGGCUGGAGUGAGCUACUCUCUCUUUCAAUGUCGUUUUUUUUUACAUUUAGACUUCUAUUUGAUCAUUCGUCCUAUUCAAAAAUUUUAUAUAAAUAUUAUUUAUUUUAUUAUAACUUGUUUUAUCAAUAAAAAUACUUUAAUAAUAAUUUAUUAAUUUUUAUUAUUUGUAUAAAAAAAUUAAAUAAGAUAAAUAGUCAAAUAAGAAAUCUUAAAGUCAAAAACGAUAUUUUAAUAGUGCCUAGCUGCAUCGGGGUGGACAGUGAUGUACUCCUCCUACGUACAGCUGCUACUGUUGCUGAGAUUUCGAUCAAUUUUAUAUAAAUAUUAUUUAUUUUAUUAUAACUUGUUUUAUCAAUAAAAAUACUUUAAUAAUAAUUUAUUAAUUUUUAUUAUUUGUAUAAAAAAUUAAAUAAGAUAAAUAGUCAAAUAAGAAAUCUUAAAGUCAAAAACGAUAUUUUAAUAGUGCCUAGCUGCAUCGGGGUGGACAGUGAUGUACUCCUCCUACGUACAGCUGCUACUGUUGCUGAGAUUUCGAUCGAUCGACACACAUGUGUGCAUGUGCAUGGCAUGGAUGGACCGGGAUCAAAAGCUAGCUAGCUUGUCCUGCCGAGCUCCUUUAUUUGUCUAGACGAAACAACAUUGCUUGCUCCAUCUUUCAAAACUUGCUCGGAUUGGAAGUCGGAACACGAAGCUGAAACAUUUUAGGGGGGGUCCUCGGCAGGAUGCAGCAAGUAGGCAUGCACUGUACGUACGUGCCCUGCCUGUCCUUGCUCCUCCUUGUCUCGUCUCCAAUAGGCAUCACUCCACUGGAGGACUAUAUAUGUACGUAGACUGAACAGCUAAUAAUGCAAUAGUGUACAAUUGUAGAGCAUCAGUUUGGGUCAUCACUUGAUACAGUUUCACGAGACUACCACAACAUUCUAAAUGUAUGCGUGGAUUCUAUACGGUAUGGUAUGGUAUGGUAAACACUAACAAUUAACUGAUCGAUCGAUGGCGCGCGCAUGCAACACGUACGUACUGUGGUAGCUAGCUGCACUCCUCUUCAAUCUUUAUAUCCAUUCAAUUGUGCUGGUACGGCUUUUUAAUGCUGAUGAGACAUUGCGUUCCCUCUUCUUAAUUCGCCAUUAACUCGAAAGUUGUGGGCGCCUGCGCCUGCGUGUGCAUAUGCAUGGAUGCAUGGAUGCAGGAGGCGUACAUCGUACCGCGCGCGCCGGUGGAGCCGGCAUUGCCC